rnacentral:rRNA from 1 species
GAUGAGCUCGCGUCUGAUUAGCUAGUUGGUGUGGUAAGAGCGCACCAAGGCGACGAUCAGUAGCUGGUCUGAGAGGAUGAUCAGCCACACUGGGACUGAGACACGGCCCAGACUCCUACGGGAGGCAGCAGUGGGGAAUUUUCCGCAAUGGGCGAAAGCCUGACGGAGCAAUACCGCGUGAGGGAGGAAGGCUCUUGGGUUGUAAACCUCUUUUCUCAGGGAAUAAAAAAAUGAAGGUACCUGAGGAAUAAGCAUCGGCUAACUCCGUGCCAGCAGCCGCGGUAAUACGGAGGAUGCAAGCGUUAUCCGGAAUGAUUGGGCGUAAAGCGUCCGCAGGUGGCACUGUAAGUCUGCUGUUAAAGAGCAAGGCUCAACCUUGUAAAGGCAGUGGAAACUACAGAGCUAGAGUACGUUCGGGGCAGAGGGAAUUCCUGGUGUAGCGGUGAAAUGCGUAGAGAUCAGGAAGAACACCGGUGGCGAAAGCGCUCUGCUAGGCCGUAACUGACACUG